rnacentral:lncRNA from 1 species
AACCCUUCCUCGUAGACUUAGUUAACUUUCCUCUUAUACAAUCUAUACAGGUGUCAAAAUCGGAGAAGUAUAAGGAAUGAAGUAUCUCAUCUUUUACUAAUCUUUCUAUUCUAUCCUUAGAAAUAUGACCCAAUCGCUUAUGCCACAACAUAGAAGAUGAUUCACGAAUUAAAGCCCUUUUCUUUGAUACAUUUGUAACACACGAGACAUUACCAAAAGAAGCCAAAGAUAAUUUAUAUAAACCAUCACAUAAAAUGCCAUUUCCAAUCAAAC